GUUAACUGCUGUAUAGUAACAUAUAAUAAACUUGUUACUAUACAGAGAGGAUUAGUCAUGGCCCCUGCAAAAAGCAUGCCAUGCACAAUUGUGGUAAGUUCCAUAAAAAA
rnacentral:snRNA from 1 species